GGCCAGACUCCUACGGGAGGCAGCAGUGGGGAAUAUUGGGCAAUGGGCGCAAGCCUGACCCAGCAAUGCCGCGUGAAGGAAGAAGGCCUUCGGGUUGUAAACUUCUUUUAUCAGGGACGAAGGAUGCGACGGUACCUGAUGAAUGAGCUCCGGCUAACUACGUGCCAGCAGCCGCGGUAAUACGUAGGGAGCAAGCGUUAUCCGGAUUUACUGGGUGUAAAGGGCGCGUAGGCGGGAUGGCAAGUCAGAUGUGAAAUCCAAGGGCUCAACCCUUGAACUGCAUUUGAAACUGUCGUUCUUGAGUACUGGAGAGGUUGACGGAAUUCCUAGUGUAGCGGUGAAAUGCGUAGAUAUUAGGAGGAACAUCGGUGGCGAAGGCGGCUUACUGGGCUUUUACUGACGCUGAGGCUCGAAAGCGUGGGGAGCAAACAGGAUUAGAUACCCCAGUA
rnacentral:rRNA from 1 species